AACGAACGCUGGCGGCAGGCCUAACACAUGCAAGUCGAGCGCGCCCUUCGGGGUGAGCGGCGGACGGGUGAGUAACGCGUGGGAACGUACCCUUUGCUACGGAAUAGCCUCGGGAAACUGGGAGUAAUACCGUAUGUGCCCUUCGGGGAAAGAUUUAUCGGCAAAGGAUCGGCCCGCGUUGGAUUAGGUAGUUGGUGGGGUAAUGGCCUACCAAGCCGACGAUCCAUAGCUGGUUUGAGAGGAUGAUCAGCCACACUGGGACUGAGACACGGCCCAGACUCCUACGGGAGGCAGCAGUGGGGAAUCUUAGACAAUGGGCGCAAGCCUGAUCUAGCCAUGCCGCGUGAGCGAUGAAGGCCUUAGGGUUGUAAAGCUCUUUCAGUGGGGAAGAUAAUGACUGUACCCACAGAAGAAGCCCGGCUAACUCCGUG
rnacentral:rRNA from 1 species